AGAAUGAACGCUGGCGGCGUGCUUUACACAUGCAAGUCGAGCGAGGCGGCCCGCAAGGGUCAGUCGAGCGGCGAACGGGUGAGUAACGCGUGGAUAACCUGCCCUGAGGUGUGGAACAACCAGGGGAAACUCUGGCUAAUACCGCAUGAUACCGAGAGGUCAAAGGGGGGCUCGCAAGGGCUCUCGCCACAGGAGGGGUCCGCGUUCGAUUAGCUAGUUGGUAGGUAAUGGCCUACAAGGCGACGAUCGAUAGCCGGCCUGAGAGGUGAUCGGCCACACUGGAACUGAGACACGGUCCAGACUCCGUACGGGAGCAGCAGUGGGAAUUUGCGCAAUGGCUAACGCUGACGCAGCAACGCCGCGUCGGAGAUGGAACGGUCCGUUGGAUUGUAAACGUCC
rnacentral:rRNA from 1 species